UACGGAGGGUGCAAGCGUUGUCCGGAAUUAUUGGGCGUAAAGAGCUCGUAGGUGGCUUGUCACGUCGGGUGUGAAAGCUUGGGGCUUAACUCCAGGUCUGCAUUCGAUACGGGCUGGCUAGAGGUAGGUAGGGGGAGAGCGGAAUUCCUGGUGUAGCGGUGAAAUGCGCAGAUAUCAGGAGGAACACCGGUGGCGAAGGCGGUUCUCUGGGCCUUACCUGACGCUGAGGAGCGAAAGCGUGGGGAGCGAACAGG
rnacentral:rRNA from 1 species